rnacentral:lncRNA from 1 species
AACGGGUAUUAAAUCCCUUCAGAGGAACAAUCAGACCUGUUCCAAACUGUAUCGGUCAUAUUAGAGAAAAGAUCAUCGUACUGAAGGUAGGCAACUGAAAUGUUUGCAGAAACUCUUUCAAAUUGUACACUUAAUUUAAUGGAAUUUUGUAAACAUCCUUUCUUUCAAAUAAAGUAAGAUAUUGUGUGUAUAAGCAAUUUAUUGCCAUUGAAAUCUGGGGUAUAUGUUAGCAAAAUCUCAUGCAGUUUGCAAAUUUUCUCAAUUGUUUCAUGUUACAUUUUUGCUUACAAAGAAUUAAUGAAUAGAAAUAAUUAUUGGAGUUUCACUUGUCUAUAGAAAUUAUAUAGACGAUUAUAAUUAUGAUGAAUAUGGAUUUUUUGUAAAAGAAAAUUUUAUACAUGCAUUGUAUAUAUGAUUGCUUUUGGAUUUUGUUUUGGGGGCUAAGUUUUUUAUAUAGCUGUAGAGUUUUACUAUUUGUGUAAGAGAAUACACGCCCCAAGGGUAUAAGAUUUUACGUGCCUUCUGUGGAAAUCUGCCUCGGCUGGCAGGGAUAGCGCGGGUAAAUAAAGUUUUUCUAUCUAAUGUUUCACUCUUAAACCUGAGAGUGGCAAGUUCAUUGGAAAUACGCCCAGAUUUACUUUCGCUAUAUACUUGAGAAACUUUCAAUCUAUAAAAUGGUUGAUUUUGGGCCAAAACCAUGCAGAUAUAUUUAACUCAGCUGAACAAAUUGGAAUUAACGGAUCGAGUAUUAAAUUAUUUUAAGGUGUAACAAGGACAAUGGGUAUAAGUCGGUUUAUGAAUUAACUAUAUUAUUCCGUUCAUAUCCUUGAACAAAAUUUUGUCCAUUUCAUCUUUAUAUAUAGCCACUCUUUUUCCAAACUUGAAUCGACUUUGAUGUCAAUCAAAUGCAAAUUAUCAUUCUUAUAAUCCAAGUUGUUGCUCUUGAUUUGCGUAUUGACGCACAUCUCAUUUUGGUAUUUGUUCAAAUGUAUCUGUUCAUGGACCGGUUGUAUAAAAACGUAGUUAAGGUGGCUCAAUACAAUUUAAAAAAAAUUCAGGCGUUCAACACAAAGUACGCAUUUUUUGGAUUUAAUCAGCAGAUAUUGAAUUUUUUAUGUAUUUGAUAUCUCUGCUUUCAAAUUAUAUUAGUUUUAGUAACAGAUAGUUCGUUGCUAUGACGUCAUACGUGUGCGAAAUUCACUCCAAAAUGGCCUAUUGCGUCGUAUAGUUGGAAAAGAAACACGGUGAGCAUUACUUGGAAGAAAACUAACAAUUAGCAAAAUAUGCAUGAAACCUAAAUUCUGUAAUGCCAUUUUUUUGGAAAAUGCGAAAAUGUCGUAAUCUUCGGUAAAACUUUUUGGCAUUACAACAUUUUUUUAGUUUUUGUAUAAUGAAAAUUUUUAGCUGUGCAAUACAGCAUGCCAAAUUUGAACAUAGGUUACCAGACAAUAUAGAGAGAUAUAUCGUAUUGUUUUUUCUAAAAUGGAAAGUUCUAAUGAAUUCUAUAAUGAAUUAAAAUAAAACGCUAUAGAACACGCGCGAUGACGUGAAAUGGCGCGAGCAACUCCUCACCUCAGGUCAUUACGGAAGUUCUUUCAUUUUAUUAAUCAGUUUGCGCGACCUGCGGUACGUGUUGUGUUUAAACAUAAAAUUCUAUAAAGUGAUGAUUGAUGAAAAAGCUGCUGACACGGUUGUAGACUCGGAUUUUGCAAAUAGGCGGAAUGUGAUUCCAAAUGUUGAAAGAUAAAGAAGAAAACAAGGUAAAAUCAGAGAAGAAGGCACUUUUUUCGUGAGAUGUCUACGUUAAACCAAAGUGUACGUAGCUUUUGGCAAUUAUAUAUUGUGCUUCUUCGCCGGAUCCUACGUAUACUUCGCCUUCAAGAAAUCUUCCUGUGCAAAAAUAUAUUUUGUUUAAUACCGGGAAGAUAGCGAAUGAAAAUCCUUGGUGAUGAGCCAAGCGUUUCAUUUUUUCUUACUGAAAAUGUUUCUCACUCCCAAAGGCAACGUUUUUUAAGUACUAUACGUCUAGACAGUUAACAAUAUUUUUGGGCAUAGUUAACUUUAACUACUUUUUUAAUUACUUUUUUACAGCAGUUAACGCUAACUACACUUUUGUACAACCCACUUAACUUAUAUUAACUACGUAAUGGAAGUUAAGAUUUCUGUUCUAUUCACCAUAUCUCCAAGAGCAUUGUCGAAUAUCUGUUUUGGUAAAAGGCUGUUUAAGAAAAUUAAAAAAGAAUAUAGGUUGAAAUUUCAAUAAAACAAAAACAUGACACAGCGGAAAUUUCAUCCCGAAAUUUUUUUUCGAUUGGAGUGAAUUUUACCACAGCUUCACUAAAAUAAUACCAAAACCGUCAGUGCGUAAUUAUUCUAUUACCCCAAAUUAUAUCACAUAUGCAAAGGAAACCAAUAAUCGAGUAUCAUUUCAAUUAAACAUUUCUAUAAGCAUGAUCCAAAAUUUUAUGCCACAAAUGUAUUUACUUCUGUGUUCAAAUUCCAACCAAUUCAGUGACUUAUUUGCAUGCGCAAUUGCAAUGGAUUUCUUAUUUAUUUUUAUUUAAUUGGAACAUUAUCACAUGCUAGGUCUGGCACAGUAACAAUUUGUUCCAUUUUGACAGAAUACAUUAGGUUUAUCAAUUGGAAAAUCAUCAUGCUAUUAUCACUUGCAAGGCAGGAACUCCCUAAACAAGAUGCAUGGUUACGGACGUCCAUAUAAUACGAAACAAAUGAGCAUAAUUUUGGGACAAAUACAAAAACAAAACUUAAAACUAAUGCACUUUUUCUCGACUGCAAAAAUAUCUAGAUUUUCAGUCAAACUCGAAACACAAAGUCAAAAUUUGUGUAAAAACCAGGAGGGGAAGGAUCGCGGUUAAUCAGUGAUAAUUGCCAUGAGCCAGAGGAACCAAUUCGCGUCAGCAAGUGACUGUACAUAUGUUUAUAUACAGUUCACUGUGGUAAGCAAACAUGAAAAUCCACCAUGUUUUUGUGGACACUCGUUUGACUGGCGGAACGAUAGGAGGACUUUCUCCAGUAAUAUUAUAGCUCAGUGGCUAAAAAUGACGGUGUAUACGUCAGCAAACUACCGAUCACGCCAUUAAUAACGAACUGAAUUUAAUCGCCAAGUCCCAAUUUGUAAUUUAUAUAGGGUAAACUGGCUAUGAACGUUUGUAAGCGAAAAUUUACAGGAUCCAAAGAACACUUACCUCUUUGGACAAUAAUAAAUUGCAAACUUCAAUAUACUCACUAGAAAAAGUAGGUUAUGGAGGAAUUGAAUGAGCUAAAAAUAGCAAAAUAGCUUCGCUUUUUUUAAAUGACUUGAAUUAAUGUUCUUCACGAAAUCUUGGAAACGUUUUCUUUCAGCUACCAACUGCAUGUAUGGUUUGGUCAAAUUACAAUUAAUUCUUUUGUUGCAAUGAUCUACAUUCACUUGUACAUUGAACGACUGUUGUAUUACGCUAGCGCUUAUUAAGGCGGCUGGUGAUCGCUGUAUGCAUGCUCACUAUGUAAUAAUCCCUAGCGUAAUGAUUUUUAUAUAUAUUGCAUAUUGAUUCUUUCAGGAAAAAUAGACAACAAAGAUGACACAGAUUCUUGUUCUGCUUGUUCUUUUGAUUGUUCUGCCAAGUAAACUUGAUGGUAGGUGGGCGUUGCAUAAAUCUAUAGCUCUUUAAAAUGUACGUUGGAUCAUUUACUAAUUAUCAAGAUCGUCUUGCCAUCUUAUUUGAUUGAGUAUAGUUGAAGGGUUUUGUAGAAGGAAAUAACUUACUUGUAUUUUUUUAUAAACAGUUUUUGGACCUAAGCAGGAACAGUUGCGAUUUUGAUAUUUAUACCCAUACCUUAACAUGAUAGUACCUUAGUAUAUUACAUGAACUUGUGGUUAGAGCUCAACAACUCGAAAUUCAAUGCCAUUGAAUAUGCUCAUCUAAUAUUCAUAUUCAUAUUCACAACAAAACGUAGAUUUUGUGGUGCUUUUAUCACAUAUUUAAGAAAAUAUUUUUUGAAUUUGCCAUCCAGCAACACUUCGUUCAACAUUCUUUGUACGUUCCAGACAGAUCUUUUUUCAUCAGAAAAUAAAAAUUCCUUAUAUUAUUUUUUAAGUGUCUCAGAUAUUACCAAAAGUCCCAGCUCCCAUGAAUAUAUACAAUAAUUAAUCAUCCAAGCUCUUAUUAUAUGAAAAAGCAGCCGGUAAAUAAAUUGAACUAACACACCGUAAAUUAUUCUGAGAGAGGGGGAUCAUGGUGAAGUGAUAUGUAAAGUCUUAAACAAUAGUGAACCCAGAGACUGAUUUACAGUAGCCUUUAUAUUUUCAUCCUGCGGGCAUAUACAGUUAAAACACUCUAUAGGAAAGACUGAAUGCCCUAAAUCCCUAAUGCUCUUUUUGCCAACUUUAGCGAGAAUAAUUGUUAUAAAACAACGUAUGAACUUAUCUUGGCACGAAACUGUAUCCUCUUGAAACGCAUAAUGGUGUCAAACAUGGGAAGAAUACGCCCGCUACUCUUUGGGAUCAAGGAGAUAAUUAUAUUAAUAAUUAUAUGCCCCU